rnacentral:lncRNA from 1 species
GGCUCUGCAGCUUUCUUGAUGAUAAUGUAGCGCGAGUACCAAAUGUGCAACUAUCACUCUGCUGAGUAAAUAGAAACCCUUCUCAACAAAAAUCUUGUACAGGAUAUGAAAAAUAACAGGAAAGAAACUUGAGGACAUUGAAAAUCAGAUGGGUAGGUCAAGAAACUUAAGUGAGCAAACCUUGAGAACAACUCAAAUGAGCACAAUGAUUUCAUUUUCUCUGAAGCUAGUGAACAAUCUUAGCAUGAUAUAAAAUAUAAUUUAUUAGUAUAUUUUCAGGACAAAUCACAGCUCUCUCCUAGGUUGAUGAGAAACGAGAGGCAAUCAUAAAACCCAUCAGUGUUUUCCUCCAUUUUCUCAGCAACCAAUCAAAUCAAUAAUUAUUACAAUGGAAAUUGGGGUAAAACUUCGUCUUCCAGAUUCUCCCACCAAAAACUUUCCACCAUCCUCUCUCCUCUCCACAUCAAAAGCUUAAUCCAAGAAAACAUCUUCUUUGACUCCAAAAGCUCCAAACUCUCCUCAAACCUCGCAGCUCUCCGUCUUUGUUUUUACAAUCUUGAUUCCUACUGCGUCCUCUCUCUCUCCAAGCCAAACCUAUCAUGUCAAAUGGCAUAAGCUGUGUCAAAAAGCAUGAAGAGCCCAUUGACCCCAGGAUUAACCGCGUGUGCGUGGCCGAGCCCUGGAAGUUACUAGGGUUGCUGGAGAUUUAAAAAGAUAAUACAGAGAGUCAGAAGGGAGGUUGGGAUCGGAGAAAAUGAGGAUCUUGUUUGUUUGAGUGGGUUUAGGAAUGUGAGGCAAGUGUUUGACUGGAAAGGAUUGAAACUUGAGCUUGGUGAGACAAUUUAUGAUUUUGGAACUAGCUAUGAGAUUGAAUGCGACUAAAGAGCCUGAGAAGUAUAAGGAGUUGAUUGAAGGGUUAUUGAAGGAUAAUUGGAUUGAGUUUUCCUACUCAGAAGCUAACGAGUUUGCACUUUUUCGAUCUGGGAAAUUGCCCUAAGAAGAGAAGAUUGUGUUUUUCUGAAUUGUAUUGAAGCAGCAAUGAGUAAAUCAACUCUCUUUUGUGAUGUUCUGUAAAAUUUGCAUUUCAUUUAUACUAGUUUUUUGAAUUGUUCUUGACUCUAUCUUGCUCCUUUCUCUAAAAU